AUUCCAGCUCCAAUAGCGUAUAUUAAUGUUGUUGCAGUUAAAAAGCUCGUAGUUGGAUUUCUGGUUGGACCGCGAUGCCGGACUCGCAAGGGUUCGUGAUUGUUGUGGUUUCCUUCCAUCCUCAGGUUUGCGCGUGCUGGCCUUAACUGGUCGGUGGGUGUGGUCCUGUCGUUUACUGUGAACAAAUUAGAGUGUUCAAAGCAAGGUGUACUUGAAUACAUUAGCAUGGAAUAAUAAGAUAGGACUUUGGUGGUUCUUUCGAGAUAUUUUGUUGGUUUGCACGCCAAAGUAAUGAUUAAUAGGAGCAGUUGGGGGUAUUCGUAUUCAAUUGUCAGAGGUGAAAUUCUUGGAUUUAUAGAAGACGAACUACUGCGAAAGCAUUUACCAAGGAUGUUUUCAUCA
rnacentral:rRNA from 1 species